UAUCUCUCCGUACGGGGAAGGAUGAGAAGCUUCGACUAAGGUUCGAUUCGAGCGCAGCGAGAAAGCGUUGCCGCAGGCAACGACCCGAAGGGUGAGG
rnacentral:sRNA from 1 species